UACGUAGGGUGCAAGCGUUAAUCGGAAUUACUGGGCGUAAAGCGUGCGCAGGCGGUUUUGUAAGUCUGUUGUGAAAUCCCCGGGCUCAACCUGGGAAUGGCAAUGGAUACUGGAUAGCUAGAGUGUGAUAGAGGAUGGUGGAAUUCCCGGUGUAGCGGUGAAAUGCGUAGAGAUCGGGAGGAACAUCAGUGGCGAAGGCGGCCAUCUGGAUCAACACUGACGCUGAGGCACGAAAGCCAGGGGAGCAAACGGG
rnacentral:rRNA from 1 species